ACGACGGGCAGGCUUAUUAAAGUGCCGAUUCUGUUGUGGGAACCCUCAUCAGAAGACACUGCUUUAUCCUCAAGAUGUCAAACUUGCUUCCAAUGGGUGAAAGAGCUAUCUGGAUUCUCGAAGGAGACUCUUCAAAUCAUGCUUAAAGGCUCAAAUUGAGCUCUUACCUAAUCAGAUCAAUGAUAUAUUUUCAUGAUCCAGGAUGAGGAGCACGACACAACUUGGGCAUAAAGGAGAAAAUGUGUCAAGUUAACUUUCAUAAUGCUGCAAUUUCUCUUCCUCCAAAAUCCAUUUCUGUGUU